GAUGAACGCUGGCGGCGUGCCUAAUACAUGCAAGUCGAGCGAACAGACGAGGAGCUUGCUCCUCUGACGUUAGCGGCGGACGGGUGAGUAACACGUGGAUAACCUACCUAUAAGACUGGGAUAACUUCGGGAAACCGGAGCUAAUACCGGAUAAUAUAUUGAACCGCAUGGUUCAAUAGUGAAAGACGGUUUUGCUGUCACUUAUAGAUGGAUCCGCGCCGCAUUAGCUAGUUGGUAAGGUAACGGCUUACCAAGGCAACGAUGCGUAGCCGACCUGAGAGGGUGAUCGGCCACACUGGAACUGAGCCACGGUACAGACUCCUACGGGAGGCAGCAGUAGGGAAUCUUCCGCAAUGGGCGAAAGCCUGACGGAGCAACGCCGCGUGAGUGAUGAAGGUCUUCGGAUCGUAAAACUCUGUUAUUAGGGAAGAACACAUGUGUAAGUAACUAUGCACGUCUUGACGGUACCUAAUCAGAAAGCCACGGCUAACUACGUG
rnacentral:rRNA from 1 species